AAUGUAAAUUUUAAACUAGAGUAUUAAUAGUUAUAUUCUUUAAACUUAAAAAAUUUGGCGGUAUUUUAGUCUGUUCAGAGGAACCUGUUUUGUAAUCGAUAAUCCACGAUGAACCUUACUUGAAUUUAUUUAUUAGUUUGUAUACCGUCGUUAUAGAAAAUUUUAUAAGAAUAAUAAUUUUCAAUAAAUUUAAUAAAAUUGUAUAUCAGAUCAAGGUGCAGCAUAUGUUUAAGUUAAUAAUGGGUUACAAUAAAUUUAUUUAUAUGGAAAUAAAUAUGAAAAAUUUAUGGAAAGUGGAUUUGAAAGUAAAAUUAUAAAGAUUAAUAAUUUGAUUUUAGCUCU
rnacentral:rRNA from 1 species